UAAAGAUAAAAAGUCAACCUGUUUCCUCCACUUAACAGGCCCCUGACUUGAAAGGAAAAUAGAGGAGCAAUUGAAUGUGUGUAUGUGUAUACUUUACUUGCUCCCUGAGUCCUUGGACCACAGCAUUCCUCAUUACCGCAGGUGAUUAAUGGCAUCAGCAUCCUGGCACCUUGGACUACAAUUUGUUCAAAGUCAGGAGAAUUUGGAAGUAAGAGAAUGGUAGUACGUGUGGCGCUAGAUGGAGUAGGGCAAGAAAGGUAGAACAUGACUUGUGGAAAUACAUGGUAAAAAACAGAGCCGUAAUAACUAAUGUUUCCCCUUCUCUGUUGUAGACCCCAUCUAGGCUCUGGUGUAGUCUUCCCCUUCUCUUUAGGUAGUUACGAUGGUUAGUGACGAUUACGCCAAAGAUUUACCUCACAUUCUUUUCAACCACCGAUGAAAAAAGAAGGCAACUAUAAAGACUUCAACAGGCAGUGGCUGAGUAAUGCAUCGCCCUGAAACCGGUAAGGCAGCGGGCUAAAGAAGUUUCAAGGAAGUUAAGUCCGAAGUCUUGCAAGGAAGACAGCUAUCAGGCCUGGAUCUCUCCUCAUGGCAGCUGUAGGAAACACAGGAACUCCGUGACCUGGAAAAUGUGGGACAACUGCCACAAGAAUUUAUGGUCCCUAAGAGGCAAGAUUAUACUAUCUCUUACAUCUUAA
rnacentral:lncRNA from 1 species